rnacentral:tRNA from 1 species
GGCACCACUGGAUAGCUCAGUUGUCUAGAGUGUGGUGCUGAUAACACCAAGCUUGCAGGUUUGAUCCCUGUAUGGGGCCA